rnacentral:piRNA from 1 species
UAAGUGAGGCUGGCCUGCCUCUGUGUC